GAGGCCUGCCUGCCCAGUGACAAACGUUCAACGGCCGCGGUAUCCUGACCGUGCAAAGGUAGCAUAAUCACUUGUUCCUUAAUUGGGGACUGGAAUGAAUGGCCUCACGAGGAUUCAACUGUCUCUUACCUCUAAUCAGUGAAAUUGACCUCCCCGUGAAGAGGCGGGGAUACAACAACAAGACGAGAAGACCCUAUGGAGCUUUAAUUUUCUGUCUUAACUACUAAAUAACUAACCCUACUGGGAUAAAAAAAAGAGAAAUAAGUCAGUAAUUUCGGUUGGGGUGACCUCGGAGAAUAAGACAACCUCCGAAUGAUUUUAACCAAGACAAACAAGUCAAAGUAUUAAAAUCAAAUUGACCCAAUUCAUUUGAUCAACGGACCAAGUUACCCUAGGGAUAACAGCGCAAUCCUAUUCAAGAGUCCAUAUCGACAAUUAGGGUUUACGACCUCGAUGUUGGAUCAGGACAUCCCAAUGGUGCAGCAGCUAUUAAUGGUUCGUUUGUUCAACGAUUAAAGUCCUACGUGAUCUG
rnacentral:rRNA from 1 species